UACGGAGGUGGCAAGCGUUACUCGGAAUUAUUGGGUGUAAAGGGCAAGUAGGUGGCUUUGUAAGUGAGAGGUGAAAUACUCCGGCUCAAUCGGAGAACUGCCUUUCAUACUGCAUUGCUUGAGGAUGGUAGGGGGUAAGGGAAUUCCCGGUGUAAGGGUGAAAUCUGUAGAUAUCGGGAAGAACACCAGCGGCGAAGGCGCUUACCUGGACCAUUCCUGACACUGAAUUGCGAAAGCUAGGGGAGCAAACAGA
rnacentral:rRNA from 1 species